ACGGGGGCAGCAGUGGGGAAUAUUGCACAAUGGGGGAAACCCUGAUGCAGCGACGCCGCGUGAGUGAAGAAGUAUUUCGGUAUGUAAAGCUCUAUCAGCAGGGAAGAAAAUGACGGUACCUGACUAAGAAGCCCCGGCUAACUACGUGCCAGCAGCCGCGGUAAUACGUAGGGGGCAAGCGUUAUCCGGAUUUACUGGGUGUAAAGGGAGCGUAGACGGUAAUGCAAGUCAGAAGUGAAAGCCCAGGGCUCAACCGUGGGACUGCUUUUGAAACUGCAAUACUGGAGUGCAGGAGAGGUAAGUGGAAUUCCUAGUGUAGCGGUGAAAUGCGUAGAUAUUAGGAGGAACACCAGUGGCGAAGGCGGCUUACUGGACUGUAACUGACGUUGAGGCUCGAAAGCGUGGGGAGCAAACAGGAUUAGAUACCCUGGUA
rnacentral:rRNA from 1 species